rnacentral:lncRNA from 1 species
UAAUUAUGAGUUCAUGUUGUGAUAAAGAUCCAGGACAUUGCUGAUUUACUGCUUUAUUUUUUUUAUGCAGCAAUAUAAAUAGCAAUGAUAACAAUUGGCAGCUAUAGAAUGUUUAUUAUGUACUAAGUGUAUCACAUUCAGCGUCCCAUUUGACUAUAUCAAACACUUUUAGAUAUAUCAUCUUAUCUAUCCUAUCUUUAAAAUGAGGAGGUACAUAUAACCAAUAGCUUAUUGACUGCAGGGUACCAAUAUCAUGUCCUACGUUCUUUGUAGAUACCACUUAUACUGGUAUCAUCUUCCAUUUUUGCUGAUAAAUACUAUCAUAAUUAUUCCAAUUUGGUAGUACCAAGGAAAGUGAAAAGAAGACAGUGACAGCAAUUAUGUGGAAUAUAUAUUGUCAAACAUUUUAAAGGAGAUUUUAAAAAGCAAGAUAACUUUUUUCAUAAUGCAUUUUGUGAUAACUAAAAAAGUUUAAAUAGAUUAGGUUUGUACUAAAAUUUAGAAGAUAAGUG